rnacentral:rRNA from 1 species
AUUGAACGCUGGCGGCAGGCCUAACACAUGCAAGUCGAGCGGAUGAAGGGAGCUUGCUCCUGGAUUCAGCGGCGGACGGGUGAGUAAUGCCUAGGAAUCUGCCUGGUAGUGGGGGAUAACGUCCGGAAACGGGCGCUAAUACCGCAUACGUCCUGAGGGAGCAAGUGGGGGAUCUUCGGACCUCACGCUAUCAGAUGAGUCUAGGUCGGAUUAGCUAGUUGGUGGGGUAAAGGCCUACCAAGGCGACGAUCCGUAACUGGUCUGAGAGGAUGAUCAGCCACACUGGAACGGAGACGCGGUCCAGGCUCCUACGGGAGGCAGCAGUGUGGAAUAGUGGACAGUGGGGGAAAGCCUGGUCCAGCCAUGCCGAGUGUGUUAAGAAGGUCUUCGGAUUGUAAAGCACGUUUAGGUGGGAGGAAGGGCAGUAAGUUAAUACCUUGCUGUUGUGACGUUACCAACAGAAGAAGCACCGGCUAACUUCGUG